UGUCACAUCCUCCAAGAACACAAGAUUAGUCGAACGUGACUUCCAUUUCAGAACUCUAUGCUGACUCUGCUCAAUCGUCUAUGUGCUAUUAGUCCACCCUUCUUAUAGAUUCCAGUAUUUCCUCUACACUGACGGAAGGUGAACAGGGCUGUUGAAAGUGUCCUGACUGGUUGCAUCAUUAUCUGGUACAACAAUUCAAAUGCACAGAAACACAAGAAGCUGCAGAGAGUAGUGGACUCAGCCCAACACAUCACGGGCACAUCCCUCCCCACCAUCGGGAGUAUCUACAGGAGGCGCUGCCUCAAGAAGGCAACAUCCAUCAUCAAAGAUCCCCACCAUCCGGGCCGUGCCGUCUUCUCGCAGCUCCCAUCGGGCAGGAGGUACAGAAGCCUGAAGUCCCACACCACCAGGUUCAGGAACAGCUACUUCCCUUCAACCAUUCGGUUCUUGAACCAACCGGCACAACCCUAAUCACUACCCCUGCAACAUUAUGACCAUUUUUAAUCACCUUGCACUAAAAUGAACAUUUUUUUUGUUCUAAUUGUGUUCUUUCUUGUUAAAAUUGUGUACAAUUUAUGUUUGUUUUUCUUGUGAAUGUUGCAUAUCUGAUGCUCUGUGCCUGUGAUGCUGCUGCAGGUAAGUUUUUCAUUGCACCUGUGCACACACAGACUUGUGCAUCUGACAGUAAACUCCAAUAAACUAAAAUUUGACUCUUU